rnacentral:tRNA from 1 species
GGAGGCAUAGCUCAGCCGGUCAGAGCACCUGCCUUACAAGCAGGGGGCCACAGGUUCAAGUCCUGUUGUCUCCACCA